rnacentral:ncRNA from 1 species
UAUCACUAAGGAAUGUUUUUCUCGCAAUAUUUUUCCUGUGAGAAACGGAAAGGACUCGAACUCGCCAAUCACCGGUGGGUUUAAAUUGAUAACAAUUAAAGGACAAG